GCCUGCCUUAGUCAACAGGCAAGUCAACAUGCUGGGGAACAUUUGGCAGGUGAAAGCUGUCAAGGAAGCUGCGGCGCCAUAGCAAUUGCUGGUUCAUAACUGGGGCCCCCUGCCCAUCGCGGGCGGCCCUUUUAACUGCCAGCCACAGGC
ensembl:snoRNA